UACGUAGGGUGCAAGCGUUGUCCGGAAUUACUGGGCGUAAAGAGCUUGUAGGCGGUUUGUCGCGUCUGCCGUGAAAAUCCGGGGCUCAACCCCGGACUUGCGGUGGGUACGGGCAGACUAGAGUGUGGUAGGGGAGACUGGAAUUCCUGGUGUAGCGGUGAAAUGCGCAGAUAUCAGGAGGAACACCGAUGGCGAAGGCAGGUCUCUGGGCCACUACUGACGCUGAGAAGCGAAAGCGUGGGGAGCGAACAGG
rnacentral:rRNA from 1 species